AUUGAACGCUGGCGGCAUGCUUUACGCAUGCAAGUCGAACGGCAGCGGGGAGGAGCUUGCUUCUCUGCCGGCGAGUGGCGAACGGGUGAGUAAUACAUCGGAACGUGUCGAGAAGAGGGGGAUAACCACCCGAAAGGGUGGCUAAUACCGCAUAAAUUCUGAGGAAGAAAGCUGGGGACCUAGGAAUAGGCCUAGCGCUUUUUGAGCGGCCGAUGUCGGAUUAGCUAGUUGGUGAGGUAAAGGCUCACCAAGGCGAAGAUCUGUAGCGGGUCUGAGAGGAUGAUCCGCCACACUGGGACUGAGACACGGCCCAGACUCCUACGGGAGGCAGCAGUGGGGAAUUUUGGACAAUGGGGGCAACCCUGAUCCAGCCAUGCCGCGUGUAUGAAGAAGGCCUUAGGGUUGUAAAGUACUUUUGUUAGGGAAGAAAAGUCAGCUGUGAAUAAUGGCUGAUACUGACGGUACCUAAAGAAUAAGCACCGGCUAACUACGUG
rnacentral:rRNA from 1 species